GACGAACGCUGGCGGCGUGCUUAACACAUGCAAGUCGAACGGAAAGGCCCUGCUUGCAGGGUACUCGAGUGGCGAACGGGUGAGUAACACGUGGGUGAUCUGCCCUUCACUUCGGGAUAAGCCUGGGAAACUGGGUCUAAUACCGGAUAGGAGCCAUUUUUAGUGUGAUGGUUGGAAAGUUUUUUCGGUGUAGGAUGAGCUCGCGGCCUAUCAGCUUGUUGGUGGGGUAAUGGCCUACCAAGGCGGCGACGGGUAGCCGGCCUGAGAGGGUGGACGGCCACAUUGGGACUGAGAUGCGGCCCAAACGCCUACGGGAGGCAGCAGUGGGGAAGAUUGCACAAUGGGCGCAAGCCUGAUGCAGCGACGCCGCGUGGGGGAUGACGGCCUUCGGGUUGUAAACUCCUUUCGCUAGGGACGAAGCUUUUUGUGACGGUACCUAGAUAAGAAGCACCGGCUAACUACGUG
rnacentral:rRNA from 1 species